UACGAAGGGGGCUAGCGUUGCUCGGAAUCACUGGGCGUAAAGCGCACGUAGGCGGAUCGUUAAGUCAGGGGUGAAAUCCUGGAGCUCAACUCCAGAACUGCCUUUGAUACUGGCGACCUUGAGUCCGGGAGAGGUGAGUGGAACUCCGAGUGUAGAGGUGAAAUUCGUAGAUAUUCGGAAGAACACCAGCGGCGAAGGCGGCUCACUGGCCCGGUACUGACGCUGAGGUGCGAAAGCGUGGGGAGCAAACAGG
rnacentral:rRNA from 1 species